AGCGAACGCUGGCGGCAGGCCUAACACAUGCAAGUCGAACGAAGUCUUCGGACUUAGUGGCGGACGGGUGAGUAACACGUGGGAACGUGCCCUUUGGUACGGAAUAACUCAGGGAAACUUGAGCUAAUACCGUAUGAGCCCUUCGGGGGAAAGAUUUAUCGCCAUUGGAGCGGCCCGCGUCUGAUUGGCUAGUUGGUGAGGUAAAGGCUCACCAAGGCGACGAUCAGUAGCUGGUCUGAGAGGAUGAUCAGCCACAUUGGGACUGAGACACGGCCCAAACUCCUACGGGAGGCAGCAGUGGGGAAUCUUGCGCAAUGGGCGAAAGCCUGACGCAGCCAUGCCGCGUGAAUGAUGAAGGUCUUAGGACUGUAAAAUUCUUUCACCGGGGACGAUAAUGACGGUACCCGGAGAAGAAGCCCCGGCUAACUUCGUGCCAGCAGCCGCGGUAAAAC
rnacentral:rRNA from 1 species